AGAAGACUACUGUCUUCAACACACUAGCCUGAGCUACCUUAUCCAAGUGCUCCACAUAUUCCAGAAGGAGAAGGACAGACUUCAAGUUCAAAUCACUUCCAGAGCUGUGAGUGACAAGUGCCUUGGCAGGUAGUGCACGCCUCAUCACUGAAAGGAUCCAAACAAGACUGCCAUGGAAGAAAAUGAAUACUCAGGAUACUGGGAACCUCCUAGAAAGCGUUGCUGCUGUGCAAGACGUGGGACACAGCUCAUGUUGGUGGGGCUGCUGAGCACAGCAAUGUGGGCUGGCCUGCUGGCCCUGCUUCUUCUGUGGCGUAAGGACAUCCGCAGCCCCGUAGCUCCUCCACCUUCUGAGACAUUCUGCUCCCAUCCCCAUGCCACCUGCUCUCCCCAUCUUCUAUUUCACCUUAAUGUCUCCUGUCAUCCAGCAUCCCUGAUCCACCUUCUACCCGUCAACCCCGGCUGACAAAUAACUGUCCUCCUUGUCUAAUCCUCUUCCCCCUAGACUGGGAAACGGAGAAGAAUCUAAAACAGCUGGGAGACACUGCAAUUCAGAAUGGUAUGGAAGGGUCAAGAUGGGUUAACAGAAGUGCGGGUUGGGAUGGUCAACUACUGUCAUUUUCCUGCCGCUGACCACUGUGGGGGCUGCCUCAAUGGUACCCUCUCCAUAGGGAACCAAUGGAUAGCCUCUAUCUCAGUAGAAAACUUCUUCAAAAUCUAGAGAAGCAAGGUUGUCUCUCAUAUGAUAUCUGCUCAGAUGGCAGGGUUCACAAAACCACUUGAGCCUCCCUUUACCCUUCUGUACCAUGGGUGUGAGCUACCAAGUGAAGAAAGAAAGAUAGAGAACACCUUGGAGGCUGGGGGUGCAGUUCAGUUGGCAGAGCACAUGCCCUGGGUCCCAUCCCCAGUGCUGAGUAACUGGGCACUGCAGUGCAUACUUGUGACCCCAGCAAUUGAAAAGUGGAGGCAGGAGGAUAGAAAGCUGGAGUUCCAGACCAUCCUGAGUUACACAAGACCUGUCUUCAAAAAUGAAAGAAAGAGAAAGGAAGGUGGGGAGGAAAGCCCUCAGAAAACAUGGCUACUGCUCUCACAUUUAAUCCC
rnacentral:lncRNA from 1 species